rnacentral:rRNA from 1 species
ACGAAGGGGGCUAGCGUUGCUCGGAAUUACUGGGCGUAAAGGGAGCGUAGGCGGAUAGUUUAGUCAGAGGUGAAAGCCCAGGGCUCAACCUUGGAAUUGCCUUUGAUACUGGCUAUCUUGAGUACGGAAGAGGUAUGUGGAACUCCGAGUGUAGAGGUGAAAUUCGUAGAUAUUCGGAAGAACACCAGUGGCGAAGGCGACAUACUGGUCCGUUACUGACGCUGAGGCUCGAAAGCGUGGGGAGCAAACAGGAUUAGAUACCCUGGUAGUCCACGCUGUAAACGAUGAGUGCUAGUUGUCGGCAUGCAUGCAUGUCGGUGACGCAGCUAACGCAUUAAGCACUCCGCCUGGGGAGUACGGUCGCAAGAUUA